GUGCCAGCCGCCGCGGUAAUACGAAGGGACCUAGCGUAGUUCGGAAUUACUGGGCUUAAAGAGUUCGUAGGUGGUUGAAAAAGUUAGUGGUGAAAUCCCAGAGCUUAACUCUGGAACUGCCAUUAAAACUUUUCAGCUAGAGUAUGAUAGAGGAAAGCAGAAUUUCUAGUGUAGAGGUGAAAUUCGUAGAUAUUAGAAAGAAUACCAAUUGCGAAGGCAGCUUUCUGGAUCAUUACUGACACUGAGGAACGAAAGCAUGGGUAGCGAAGAGGAUUAGAUACCCUCGUAGUCCAUGCCGUAAACGAUGUGUGUUAGACGUUGGAAAUUUAUUUUCAGUGUCGCAGGGAAACCGAUAAACACACCGCCUGGGGAGUACGACCGCAAGGUUAAAACUCAAAUGAAUUGACGGGGACCCGCACAAGUAGUGGAGCAUGUGGUUUAAUUCGAAGAUACGCGCAGAACCUUACCAACACUUGACAUGUUCGUCGCGACUCUAAGAGAUUAGAGUUUUCGGUUCGGCCGGACGAAACACAGGUGCUGCAUGGCUGUCGUCAGCUCGUGUCGUGAGAUGUUGGGUUAAGUCCCGCAACGAGCGCAACCCUCACUUUUAGUUGCCAUCAUUUAGUUGGGCACUCUGAAAGAACUGCCAGUGAUAAGCUGGAGGAAGGGUGGGGGAUGACGUCAAGUCCUCAUGGCCCUUACGUGUUGGGCUACACACGUGCUACAAUGGUAUCUACAACAGGAAGCAAGACUGCGAAGUUAAGCAAAUCCCUAAAAGAUACCUCAGUUCGGAUUGCACUCUUGCAACUCGAGUGCA
rnacentral:rRNA from 1 species